CUUUUUCCAGCUUUGCAAAGCGCUGAGGCUUCUCCUUCGUUCCUCCUGCCGGGGUCUUCCCUCUGCUUUUUCCGCUCCCCUGGUUCUUGCUCCUCGCUUCCUUUUUCAGACGAAAGCCUCUGACUUCCUUGUUUCUCCCUAGCCGGCCAUCCCCGAUUCUCCCUUUUUGUUUUCUGAUUUUUUUCAGCCCCAGUCUCCUCAUUUUUCUUUUUGCAUUUCUUAGCUCAUCCGUAGCUUCCUCAGCCGUCAUCCCCCUUUUCUUGCUUC
rnacentral:lncRNA from 1 species